ensembl:lincRNA
CGUUUAACAGGGCUUUGAGCACCGCCGCUGCUUCGGUGAGACUUGCACCCCCCUCACCCCACCCCAUAACAAAUCGCAGCAAACAGGACCUAUUUGCAAGGAAUUCAUCACCAUGGCGCUGGGAGGGUCUGGGGGCGGAGGGGAGCGCUAAGGUCUUUUGUUAUCCUUGUCACCUCGUCCAACCCAGGCCUGAGGACAGCCCCGCGGCGGGAGGCGGAGGACAGUGGCCAGCAGCCGGAGGACAGUGGCCAGCAGCCGCUGCUUCUCUGCGGCCCAGAAAGCCUGUGUUUUUGCGCUCAGGUUGCUUUUCUCUGGCUGGAGCUUUACCUAGAGGCUUGCGGGGAGCCGGGGCGCCGCGCCUUUGUUCUGCCGGGGAGCUCCGGCCGCCUGCACUUUCUGCCUCGGACCCGCGGGGCAGUCACGCGGCCCCGGGCAGAUCGAGGCCUUUGGCCGGGCCGCCUGGUCCUGCGCUGCGCUGGGGAGCAGUGGAGAGGAAAGCGGGCCCGUCUGGGGCGGACUUUGGCUUCGGGAGCCCGGGGCCCGCGGAGGUGGGCCGGGAGCCUCCGGGAGGGCAGCGCGGGCGCAGGGCCGGGCUCGGGAGGGCAGCGACUGGGCCCCGGACGGCGGCUCCGGGAGCUCCGCUCGCAAUCAGUCAGCUCGCCGGGGAAGGGGACGGCCAGUCUGGGGGAGUCGCCCCUGCCCGGUGGCGUGGCGCAGGUUGGGGGCGGAGACUUGGGACCCGACCUAGGCCCGGUCUCUGCAGGGCCUCCCGGAGCGAGAUCUGCACCUUCCCCCGGUACCCGCUGCGUUCAUCGCCUCUGUUUGUUGAGCAGAGGAGCCGGGGUCCCCGGGCCCGAACCCGCGGAGUCUCACCGCCCCUCGCACCCCCACCUCGCCCUCGGGCCGUGGCCACCUACACCUCCGCAAUCGAUUUUUGCUGCGUGUCAAUACUUACUUCUGUUCAGUGGCAGUUGUGGAAGAGAGAAGACCCUAGAAGCUGAAGUUGCUCAGCAGAAGAGUUGCCCAAAGAACCACCUGAGGCACUGGAAGUUUCAAGCAGCACUUCCAAGACAGCAUGGAAAGGGGUGGCACUGGUUUUCCCAGCUCAGAACCCACCUCCAACCUGUCUGUCCUCCUGGACCUCGGCAGUGCAGGGCGCCUGCCGCGGCACUGCGGCAUCUUAGCUGUUUCAAAGACCAUUGCUGCUGAGAACUUCUGGGUAGGGUGCAAGAUGAACAGGGGUUUUCAGCGAUUCAUCGAGCCUCAAGCCUGCCUUGAGCAGCGUGGAUGGGGAUUCACCAAACAUCCUCACUUAGUCUGGGAAGAAUAUGCUGAUGUGAAUUUAAGACGUGGUCACAGAGUGUUUGUCACUUCAUGAGCUGUCACUAUUCUGACCUGGCUGCACACCGUGCACUGUGUCAUUCCCGUAAAGCAAUUAUAGCCCACCUUUGUCAUUACCCAAGGCUGCUACCCCACUUCCCCCCAGAAAAACAGGAUUGACCCAGAGGUUCCACCAGCUGGCUCCCAAGAGACGAUGAGCACAUCAAAGAAAAAUAAAUAAAAAGAAACAUGAGUCACACACUCAGUGUGCCCUUCAGUGACUUAGAGACAGAGAGCAACAGAAUGGGGAAAGAUACUUACUUUCAAAGGUGUGGGUGGCUGGGGAGACCAGUAUUAUAAAGCGAAUGGCAAGCCCUCAAAUUGUCUCCUUCCCCCCAAACUACCAUGUCAUCUGACACCCUCAAUCUAUUUGUGUCCUGGGUAACAGACUUGGACUAAGAGGUCACCGGCUAGAGGGCUUGGGUGACUGGAAACAAGUUUGACAUGAUAGGAAUCUGGGUGGGGAGCACCAUGGCAGAGGUGUAGAGAGGAGGAGGCCAGAGGCUGCACCAGCUUGAGAACUCCAAACCUCAGCUGGACCCCGAAUUUCC